rnacentral:rRNA from 1 species
CCCCUAGAUGUUCUGGGCCGCACGCGCGCUACACUGAACAUUUCAACAAGUCUUAACCUUGGCCGAUAGGUCUGGGUAAUCUUUGAACGCUGUUCGUGAUUGGGAUAGACCUUUGCAAUUAUGGGUCUUCAACGAGGAAUUCCUAGUAAACGCAAGUCAUCAGCUUGCAUUGAUUACGUCCCUGCCCUUUGUACACACCGCCCGUCGCACCUACCGAUUGAAUGGUCCGGUGAAAUCUCGGGACGGCGGCUUGGUCGCUUGCGUCCGACUGCUGAAACUUGAUUAAACCAUAUCAUUUAGAGGAAGGUGAAGUCGUAACA